GAACGCUGGCGGCGUGCCUAAUACAUGCAAGUCGAACGAACUCUGGUAUUGAUUGGUGCUUGCAUCAUGAUUUACAUUUGAGUGAGUGGCGAACUGGUGAGUAACACGUGGGAAACCUGCCCAGAAGCGGGGGAUAACACCUGGAAACAGAUGCUAAUACCGCAUAACAACUUGGACCGCAUGGUCCGAGCUUGAAAGAUGGCUUCGGCUAUCACUUUUGGAUGGUCCCGCGGCGUAUUAGCUAGAUGGUGGGGUAACGGCUCACCAUGGCAAUGAUACGUAGCCGACCUGAGAGGGUAAUCGGCCACAUUGGGACUGAGACACGGCCCAAACUCCUACGGGAGGCAGCAGUAGGGAAUCUUCCACAAUGGACGAAAGUCUGAUGGAGCAACGCCGCGUGAGUGAAGAAGGGUUUCGGCUCGUAAAACUCUGUUGUUAAAGAAGAACAUAUCUGAGAGUAACUGUUCAGGUAUUGACGGUAUUUAACCAGAAAGCCACGGCUAACUACGUGCCAGCAGCCGCGGUAAUACGUAGGUGGCAAGCGUUGUCCGGAUUUAUUGGGCGUAAAGCGAGCGCAGGCGGUUUUUUAAGUCUGAUGUGAAAGCCUUCGGCUCAACCGAAGAAGUGCAUCGGAAACUGGGAAACUUGAGUGCAGAAGAGGACAGUGGAACUCCAUGUGUAGCGGUGAAAUGCGUAGAUAUAUGGAAGAACACCAGUGGCGAAGGCGGCUGUCUGGUCUGUAACUGACGCUGAGGCUCGAAAGUAUGGGUAGCAAACAGGAUUAGAUAC
rnacentral:rRNA from 1 species